rnacentral:rRNA from 1 species
UACGUAGGGUGCAAGCGUUGUCCGGAAUUAUUGGGCGUAAAGAGCUCGUAGGCGGUUCGUCGCGUCGGCUGUGAAAUCCCGAGGCUCAACCUCGGGUCUGCAGUCGAUACGGGCGGACUGGAGUUCGGCAGGGGAGACUGGAAUUCCUGGUGUGGCGGUGAAAUGCGCAGAUAUCAGGAGGAACACCGGUGGCGAAGGCGGGUCUCUGGGCCGAUACUGACGCUGAGGAGCGAAAGCGUGGGGAGCGAACAGG